rnacentral:tRNA from 1 species
UUUCUUUUAGCUUACAAUAAAGCGUUAGUUUGAAGAGCUAAAGACAACUUUUGUUAAAGAGGG